rnacentral:lncRNA from 1 species
CUAUGCAGAGGCACCUGUGGGGCUGGAGUGUGCCUCACUGCUUGAGGAAGGAGUUGGGUGGUGCGUUGCUGGCUUCCUGGCCUCUCUCGUAGGGGAUUUAGCCACCAAAAUGUGCUUAUUCCUUAAAACACUAGGACCAAAGAGAGAGGGCAGCUGGCCACUCAUGGAGGAGCGUGUGAAGCCCUGGCUGUCUUCCAAGGACAACACAGAUGGAGUUGGAGAGUGGCAAGAGAAAGCACAGCAUGGCCUUCAAAAUUGGCUGUCAAGUCCUUCAGUAUUACAGCACUGAGGAAAUGAGACGAGUGGGAAGCAGAAAACCAACCUUUGUAAAUCUGACAUCCAUUAUUGUCAUCUUUCCCCCAUUGUUCCAGUGGAGUGGAACAUCUGCGAUACUGAGAGACCUCUCACUGUGGAGAUCUUCCACUCGCAACAAAGCUGCAUCGAGUUUACCAACUUCAAAAGUGUUCAAGAGAAAGAGGCGUUUUGUUUGGUUUCAGUCUUGCUCCAAAUAUACACAGUGUAGUAGGUGCAGUGAUCAAAAGGAUGAAUAUAGUUUGUUCCUUUUUGAUGCAGGAAAAAAUCAAAGUCAAUGAAUUUACUUGCUCCUGUAAUAUACCCAUGGAGUCAGGUGUGCUCACAGAUGAUAUUUUCCUUAGAACAUGCCCCCAAAGUGCAGCUCCAACAUGUGAGAGACCUCUUUCCUAUGCGUUCACUGGAUGAAAGGGUCCCCAACCCAAGUUUGUCUGAGGUUUUCAGUAGAAGUUUUGUGAUUGAAUUUUGCUAAUUAAAGGAUGGAUUCAAUAGCUAAGGGUUCCUCUUUUGUGUGAGGUAAAGAACAGACUCCUUAAAGUUUCUGGCACACAAAGGCAAACAUCACUGCACUUAUGCCCUAUGAAUUGCAAUGAGCUUCAGGAGACAAGAAGCCAUAUUAUAGCAUUCUGGAAUAAGAAGGUGAACUAAGCUCUCUAAGAAACCCCUUUGACCUGUGUGCUUUUUUUUAAAUGUAAAAAUGAAAGGUGUAACUAAGGUUUGAUGAUUUUAUUUCUUAUGAAUGAUAGCUUUUUAUUUACGUAACACAGUCAUGAGCAAUAUCAGCUAGAAACUGAUAUGUCAUUCAGCACACUCAAAAUAUCAGAGUCUGUCCAGCUUAAAUCCAGCCUUACAUGUUAAAGUCAAAGAGCUAGAAGAACACUCAGUUUGCAGAGCGAUUUGCCAUUUUUGGUCACCUCACAUGGCUGUGGAUUGGAAGGGAAAAAGAAAAAGGGCUCCUGGCAUGUGGAGCUGCAUAAGCUCUCUCCAGCAUAGUAGAACCAGAUAAACAUAGGAAUAGAAGGUACUCUUUCUUUAUGUGAAGAGUAACAUAUGGGACUUUGCAUUAGAGAUCAAUAAAUGCAGUUUAUUGUUUCA